UACGUAGGGUGCGAGCGUGUCCGGAAUUAUUGGGCGUAAAGAGCUCGUAGGCGGUGUGUCGCGUCGGCCGUGAAAACCUGGGGCUCAACUCUGGGCGUGCGGUCGAUACGGGCAUCACUUGAGUUCGGCAGGGGAGACUGGAAUUCCUGGUGUAGCGGUGAAAUGCGCAGAUAUCAGGAGGGAACACCGGUCGGCGAAGGCGGGUCUCUGGGCCGAUACUGACGCUGGAGGAGCGA
rnacentral:rRNA from 1 species